UUCCCAGGCCGCCGUCCCCAAACCAGACCCUGUGGAUGAAACCAUCCACCUGCGUCCACAGGGCCUGGGGCUCUGGGCUGAGGGAUGUCGUGGGUGGUCUCUCGCUGGCGACUCUGAACACGUGCAGAGACGAAAAGAGGCCAGAGCAAAAGCAGCAAUGGAGCAACACAGGGUGAAGCCAGGGAAAGUGGUUCAGCCGCUGGAGCUUGUGGAACUGGUGGAGCCUGUCAAACCAGUGGAACCAGUACAGCCAUUGGUAACACCACCACAGGUGGAGCCUGCAGAACCAGUGGUUCCACUGGAACCGGUAGAGCCUGUGGAGACAGAAGAGCCGGUGGAGACAGUAGAGCCGGUAGAGACAGAAGAGCCGGUGGAAACAGUCGAGCCGGUGGAGACAGAAAAGCCGGUAGA